GCUCAGGACGAACGCUGGCGGCGUGCUUAACACAUGCAAGUCGAACGAAGAGCGAUGGAAGCUUGCUUCUAUCAAUCUUAGUGGCGAACGGGUGAGUAACGCGUAAUCAACCUGCCCUUCAGAGGGGGACAACAGUUGGAAACGACUGCUAAUACCGCAUACGAUCUAAUCUCGGCAUCGAGGAUAGAUGAAAGGUGGCCUCUACAUGUAAGCUAUCACUGAAGGAGGGGAUUGCGUCUGAUUAGCUAGUUGGAGGGGUAACGGCCCACCAAGGCGAUGAUCAGUAGCCGGUCUGAGAGGAUGAACGGCCACAUUGGGACUGAGACACGGCCCUGACUCCUACGGGAGGCAGCAGUA
rnacentral:rRNA from 1 species